rnacentral:rRNA from 1 species
GCAAGUCGAGCGCAUCCUUCGGGAUGAGCGGCGGACGGGUGAGUAACGCGUGGGAAUGUGCCCUUCUCUACGGAAUAGCCACUGGAAACGGUGAGUAAUACCGUAUACGCCCUUAGGGGGAAAGAUUUAUCGGAGAAGGAUCAGCCCGCGUUAGAUUAGGUAGUUGGUGGGGUAACGGCCUACCAAGCCCACGAUCUAUAGCUGGUUUUAGAGGAUGAUCAGCCACACUGGGACUGAGACACGGCCCAGACUCCUACGGGAGGCAGCAGUAGGGAAUCUUGGACAAUGGGGGAAACCCUGAUCCAGCCAUGCCGCGUGAGUGAAGAAGGCCUUAGGGUCGUAAAGCUCUUUCGCCUGUGAUGAUAAUGACAGUAGCAGGUAAAGAAACCCCGGCUAACUCCGUGCCAGCAGCCGCGGUAAUACGGAGGGGGUUAGCGUUGUUCGGAAUUACUGGGCGUAAAGCGCGCGUAGGCGGAUUGGAAAGUUGGGGGUGAAAUCCCGGGGCUCAACCCCGGAACUGCCUCCAAAACUGCCAGUCUAGAGUUCGAGAGAGGUGAGUGGAACUCCAAGUGUAGAGGUGAAAUUCGUAGAUAUUUGGAAGAACACCAGUGGCGAAGGCGGCUCACUGGCUCGAUACUGACGCUGAGGUGCGAAAGUGUGGGGAGCAAACAGGAUUAGAUACCCUGGUAGUCCACACCGUAAACGAUGAAUGCCAGUCGUCGGGUAGUAUACUAUUCGGUGACACACCUAACGGAUUA